rnacentral:rRNA from 1 species
ACUCCUACGGGAGGCAGCAGUAGGGAAUCUUCCACAAUGGACGAAAGUCUGAUGGAGCAAUGCCGCGUGAGUGAAGAAGGGUUUCGGCUCGUAAAACUCUGUUGUUAAAGAAGAACACCUUUGAGAGUAACUGUUCAAGGGUUGACGGUAUUUAACCAGAAAGCCACGGCUAACUACGUGCCAGCAGCCGCGGUAAUACGUAGGUGGCAAGCGUUGUCCGGAUUUAUUGGGCGUAAAGCGAGCGCAGGUCGGUUUUUUAAGUCUGAUGUGAAAGCCUUCGGCUUAACCGGAGAAGUGCAUCGGAAACUGGGAGACUUGAGUGCAGAAGAGGACAGUGGAACUCCAUGUGUAGCGGUGGAAUGCGUAGAUAUAUGGAAGAACACCAGUGGCGAAGGCGGCUGUCUAGUCUGUAACUGACGCUGAGGCUCGAAAGCAUGGGUAGCGAACAGGAUUAGAUACCUGGUAGGAUAGCG